rnacentral:rRNA from 1 species
CAGUCGCCGCGGUAAUACGGAGGGAGCUAGCGUUGUUCGGAAUUACUGGGCGUAAAGCGCGCGUAGGCGGUUACUCAAGUCAGAGGUGAAAGCCCGGGGCUCAACCCCGGAACUGCCUCUGAAACUAGGUGACUAGAAUCUUGGAGAGGUCAGUGGAAUUCCGAGUGUAGAGGUGAAAUUCGUAGAUAUUCGGAAGAACACCAGUGGCGAAGGCGACUGACUGGACAAGUAUUGACGCUGAGGUGCGAAAGCGUGGGGAGCAAACAGGAUUAGAGACCCCUGUAGUCCCUGUCUCUUAUAC